rnacentral:lncRNA from 1 species
GCGCAGGGCAGGGGGAAGCGGAGGCGCGCGAGGUGGCGGGGGAAGGAGACCCUCCCCCUCCGCCUCGACACACCGCAACGACCACCCCCCGACCCCCGCUCGUCAAGGAACCGGCCGCGGGUGUCGCGGGCGCACACACACGCCGCCGCGACUCUCCCGCGGCCGUCGCGGAAAACCGCCCGGCGGGCCCCCCCCCCCACGGGAGGGAAACUCCACCGGACGCGGCCUGACGACGGGACGGGCCCCGCUGCGUCUGAGAGCACGGCGGGCUCUCUCUCGGUAAUGAUCCUUCCGCAGGUUCACCUACGGAAACCUUGUUACGACUUUUACUUCCUCUAGAUAGUCAAGUUCGACCGUCUUCUCAGCGCUCCGCCAGGGCCGUGUGUACUUAGACAUGCAUGGCUUAAUCUUUGAGACAAGCAUAUGCUACUGGCAGGAUCAACCAGGUAGUCGAAAGAAGAGAAGAGAAGAGGGGAAGGGGAAACCGCGGCGUGGAGGAGGAAGGAGGAGGAGGAAGGAGAGAGACGAGGCGCGGGGGGAAGGCAACACGGGCCGGCCCCCACCACCCCAAAACCCGCCUUGCGCACGGGUCGAGGAGCGGCCCUCGCUCUCUCCUCUCCUGCCUGGAAGUCCCCCAAGGCACCACCGACAGAAAACCCCUUUUUAAACCCCUCUCUCCGGCUCUCUCUCUCAUCGAGAGGGGGGACCACAGACGCCACUACCCGACUCCCCUCGAGGGCGGGUCCCCGCCACCGGGAAAGACUCAGAAGAGUCCCCCCGGAGGGGGAGGGCGAAAGGGCCGCGAAGCAACAACGGGAUGGACGGGAAGACCCACACGAGGCGGAGGUUCCCAAGGUCCUCCCCACACGGGAGGAAAAGCUCACAAACGUGAGAGGGGACCGAGGUCCGCUAGAGAAGUCAGACGGCUCCGAGGACGGUCGGAACCGGGCCCACCCUCGACUCCGAGCCCAAGAGAGCGGCAGGAAGGCAAAAAGGCCGCCCCGGCACACGCGGGGAAAGGCAGAGAGGCAAACACGGGAAAGCCGAGAUCGCGGGCGCUCGAGGACGCAGCGCCGCCGAGGAGCGAACGGGACCCACAAGGGUCCGCCGCGCGGGGGUCAAGCGGCCCCGACCAGGCCCAAAAUACGUCCCCUCUGACCCUUCCUUCUCCGGCGGGCGAUCGGUGGCCGCACGAGCCACACGAGCGCGCUCAACGCCUGGCGGAGAAGACACCUUUCGCCAACAGAACCGGAGGGGAUUCGAGAACAGAGGGACGGGGGCCCGGCGCAGGAAAAGACCCACACGAACGCGGCGGGGGGCGGCCCGCCGAGAACUCGGAACAACGGCACACACGCGACCCGCGGCCAACGCGACCAAACCGAGGAACUUUUCCCUUUCUCUCGCUCUCUCCACACAGCGAUGCGCACAGAGAAGGCACGAGGCUCUUCCUUCGCCACCCCAGAGCAGAGCGGGGCACCCGGGAGCCGACCGCCCGUCGGUCACGGGCAACUCAAAGGCUCCCCCGUACAAGCCCGACCACGGGAAGGCAUCGCGGGAAGGCGAUCGGCAAGGAGGCCGCCGCCAAAGCAGAAACACGGCCCUAGGAGCAGGGCCCGGUCCACUCGACUUGGGCAGGAACCGCCACUCCCCCCUCCCCAGGCGGGGCAGCGGGAGCCAGGAACAGGCGGGUGAGCGACAGAGUCAUCAUCGCCUGCCCGACGGCCCUCCCUCGCGGGACCAGGGACACCACAUCGAUCCGAGGAGAAAUCCCCAAAGACGGGAAAGAGGGCGGGAGGGGACAGCGGCCCAACGAGCCCAAAACGGGCCGAGAGAGGAGAGGACCCAGAGCGGAACGCCACCCGGGGAAAAAAAACCAAGGGCCGACCCCAACGCCACCAAGAGGAGAGAGCGGAAGACGGGGGCCGGGCGGCAACCCGGAGGCGCCGCGCGGCCCGAGGCAACGACCACUUCCCACCAGCCGAGAGGUUCCGGAGAAGGACCGAGACCGGCAGCGGACCGCCUCACAGCACGACAACGGCCCCAAAACCAAAAGCACGGCUUGGCUUUUUCUGCACACCGGCUCGUCUUCCCCAUUCCCAACAACAGCCAGAGCACUUCUCCCCACUAGUCUGCAGGCACA